GGAGGGGCGAGCGGCCGAGGAACCGGGGCCCGGCGGCUUUGUUUACGGCUCAGGGACAGACCCAGGCGACCAUCCCGGCCCCGGCUCUCGCGGGGGUCGAGGAGCCCCGGAGCCCAGGCGGCGGGACUUCCCGUCUCCACCGCAGCGCCCCUCCCACCUCGGCCCGGCCCCUUCCCGCCCAGGUCCCGGACUCACGAUGCACUCGCGGACCCUGUCGUGGAACAGCUGCUCUCGCACGGAUAGCACUUCGUAGUCAGCCGCUUCCAUACUCUGCUCAGCAUGACUGGGGCGGGGGUGUCUCCGGGCCCGGGGAGGACGAGCGGGGAGGAGGCCGCCGCCGCCGCCGCCCGCCAAGCACCCGGACCCAGCCCAAGAGCCUCUCCUCGCUGCCCGUGACGGAAACUCAAGGCACAUUCGUGGCACUCUGAAGUCUGGAGGUCAGAGAACAACUUCCAGGAAUGGCUCCCUCCUUCAGUCUUGUGGGUCUUGGGACUCAUGCUCAAGUCUAAAGCCGCAUCACCAGACAAGUGCAAGAGUGCCUGCUUGGGGGCUGGAGAGAUGGCUCAGCAGUU